CGAACAACUGCUCUAUCAGCCAAUGAUGGCCGUGUAGUGGACUGCCAUGGCGUCGACGGGAGCGGGGGAUUAGGGUUCGAUUCCGGAGAGGGAGCCUGAGAAAUAGCUACCACUUCUACGGGAGGCAGCAGGCGCGCAAAUUGCCCAAUGUCAAAACAAAACGAUGAGGCAGCGAAAAGAAAUAGAGCCACCAGUCCCCUUUAAAGGGAUUGGCGGUCACAAUGGGGGAUAUUUAAACCCAUCCAAUAUCGAGUAUCAAUUGGAGGACAAGUCUGGUGCCAGCACCCGCGGUAAUUCCAGCUCCAAAAGCGUAUAUUAACGCUGUUGCUGUUAAAGGGUUCGUAG
rnacentral:rRNA from 1 species